rnacentral:rRNA from 1 species
UACGGGGGGAGCAAGCGUUGUUCGGAUUUACUGGGCGUAAAGGGCGCGUAGGCGGCCAGCACAAGUCAGUUGUGAAAUCUCCGAGCUUAACUCGGAACGGUCAACUGAUACUGUGCGGCUAGAGUGCGGAAGGGGCAACUGGAAUUCUUGGUGUAGCGGUGAAAUGCGUAGAUAUCAAGAGGAACACCUGCGGCGAAGGCGGGUUGCUGGGCCGACACUGACGCUGAGGCGCGAAAGCCAGGGGAGCAAACGGG